CGUAGGGACCGAGCGUUGUCCGGAUUCAUUGGGCGUAAAGAGCUCGUAGGCGGCUAUUCAAGUCGAACGUGAAAUCUCGGAGCUCAACUCCGAGCCUGCGUUUGAUACUGGAUGGCUAGAGUCUGGUAGGGGGAUCUGGAAUUCCUGGUGUAGCGGUGGAAUGCGCAGAUAUCAGGAGGAACACCGGUGGCGAAGGCGGGAUCCUGGGCCAGUACUGACGCUGAGGAGCGAAAGCGUGGGGAGCAAACAGGACUAGAUACCCUGGUAGUCCACGCCGUAAACGAUGGGCGCUAGGUGUGGGAGGUCAUCGACUCCUUCCGUGCCGCAGCUAACGCAUUAAGCGCCCUGCCUGGGGAGUACGGCCGCAAGGCUA
rnacentral:rRNA from 1 species